rnacentral:rRNA from 1 species
AUACGUAGGUGACAAGCGUUAUCCGGAUUUACUGGGCGUAAAGGGCGUGUAGGCGGUCUUGCAAGUCAGAAGUGAAAUUCCUGAGCUCAACUCGGGCGCUGCUUCUGAAACUGCAGGACUUGAGUGCUGGAGGGGAUAGCGGAAUUCCUAGUGGAGCGGUAAAAUGCGCAGAUAUUAGGAAGAACACCGGUGGCGAAGGCGGCUAUCUGGACAGUACCUGACGCUGAGGCGCGAAAGCGUGGGGAGCAAACAGAAUUAGAUACCCUGGUAGUCCACGCUGUGAACGAUGAAUACUAGGUGUAGGGGGUAUCGACUCCCUCUGUGCCGCAGUUAACACAAUAAGUAUUCCGCCUGGGGAGUACGGCCGCAAGGUUGAAACUCAAAGGAAUUGACGGGG